rnacentral:lncRNA from 1 species
AAUGUAUCCGUUUAAUGACAUAUUUUUAAGUUACUCUUAAAUCGUUUUUCUUGAUAUCAUUUUGUAAUUAUUUUUCUUUUUAAUUUUUAGUAAAAGACAUUCAAACUUACCAAUGCUAGCAGCAAGCAAUUUAGUCAUCAUAUUAACCACGUUUAUCUAACGGACAAACUGCUUAAUGAGAGAACGGUAAGAUAUACUGAUGUGCUUUUCAUCUUGAAAGAUAAUUCUGUCUUAAGAAUGAGCUUUUGAAUCUUGAUAUGAUUGAUACUUUUAUACAUCUAUAAAAUGCGGAUCGCAUAAAGGAAUAUCAAUAUUGCAACCGAUUAUCAAAUUACAGCACCAGCAAGAAUCAGUCAUUUUAUUUAUCAUACUCAUCACAAUCCUUCUAUUUCUUGACUAUGUACGCUAUAAUAUUAUCCAACAGUCUAUAAUGAGUUAUAAAAAAAAAUGUCUGAUUACAAUGUUGCUCACAUCGAGUUGCGACGUAUUACCUGAAAUAUAUAAAUUAUUUGUACAGAUUUGUAUAGGAAUUUACAUAAUUAAAUUUUUUCUUUUGAUUAUUAGAAGAUCUAGGUAUCUAGAAUAAAAGGAUCUACUCACAGCAUACACCAUGAUAAAGCUUAUGAAAAAGCUUACCAAACGUUGAACAGGAUAAUAAUCAGUUUAAUAAAGAAAACUAUAAGUCAAAAUUGCUCUUAUCAUGUCCAUGAGAAUAAAAAUAUUGCUGUCGCCGAAGUGCAUGAUCAAAUAUCGAUAUUGAAAGGUAUGAAGUAUCGCCAUCGAAAAUAUGCAGCAAACUGUGCGCAAAAUUGCAAACGACGUACCCGGUCAUACAUCGAUUAGACGAAGACCAAACUCCACGAAGCCAGUAUUUUAUAUACCGUAUUAUUCAUUGAGCUCGAAUAAAUCUAUUUUAUAGCACGAUCACCAAUCUAGUGGUUUAUUACUAACUCUGAUUAAUUUUUCUUUUUGCUCUGUCAGCAUUAUGAGUAAGUGCAUAAGUCAGGAGAAAAUAUCAAUUUGCCAACACGACAGAUUUUUACUAAACGAUUGAUAUAAUACAACUUGAAAAUUUUUUACUAAAACUGCAAUAUAUAUAUAUUGACGAAAAAAAUUCGAUUAAAAGAGCUAAAAGACAAACGACUAUAUUAUAGUUAACAGUGCUGGCUUGACUACCUCUCUAGAUGUGAUCGGCCGAGAGAUCUCAGUGAAACUGUAAAACUAACGCUAGAAUACAUACAAUUCAACAUUAGUGUAACCCCCAUCUCGAUUGUAUUCAACCAAUAGAAAACGUUCACGUUGUACUUCUUUUUCUAUUUCAGAAGUCAAGAAGAAAAAUUAUAAAUCAAUGUCUCAAUAAUUGCAGUGGUUGCGAAGAAAGACAGUUUGCGGAAACAUCGGAAAAUUAUAGAUAAAUAUUCAAACUUACCAAUAUUAUCAAGAAAGAAUUCAAUACUCCUACCAUUCCAGCCGCACUUGUCUGAUGAAUAAAUUGCGUAAGGAGAACGGCUACGUGUACUAAUGUGCUAUCGAUCUCGAAGGGUAUCUCCAUCUUGAUGAUAAGCUCUCGAGCUUCGACCCAACGACAGCUAUGAGCUACUUUAAUCAUCGUGUACUCGUCCAAAAUGUAGCAAUUCUUCCAAUCCUUAGCGAUACAUGUUAUCACUUCGUUCAGUAGACUAUAAUUAUUAU